AAUAAAUUGAGGGGCGCCACCCUUGGUCUUCGGUCCACCCCUUCCCAUCAUGCAACACAGUAUAGAUAAGAUGUUCAGUCUUGCUUUCUUUGGGCAACUGUAAAGAAAGAGAAAUAAUGGAGAUCGAGCAAGAAAUAGAAGUUUCAGAACCUGUGAGUCCUACGGGACAAUAUCUGAGCACUUCUAUUUUAUCACUUUGUAUUAUUGGAGUUCUGGAAUCUGAAGUUCCCAUCGAUGACUCUCAAACUAUGGCAUUGCUCAAGGAUGUGUUCCUUCCUAUCAAUCCUCGUUUCUCUUCUGUUAUGGUUAUAAACAAAAAAGGAGAGAAACGUUGGAAGAAAGUUGAAGUGAGGCUCAAAGAUCACGUAAAAGUACCUAUAUUCCCAGCUGGAAAGUCAAGAAAAUUUUAUGACGAUUGCCUUGACGAUUAUCUAUCAAAGAUAGCCAUGGAAGAGCUACCACAAAGCCAACCAUUGUGGGAAAUUCACAUAAUAAAAUACCCAACUAGUGAAGCAGAAGGAAAUGCAAUCUUCAAGCUUCACCACUCGCUCGGCGAUGGCUUCUCUCUAAUGGGAGCUCUUCUUUCAUGCUUACAAAGGGCUGAUAAUCCUGCAAUGCCCUUGACAUUUCCAUCUGUUCAGUUGCAUAAUAAUAAGUUGAAGGGAAAAAGGAAUAGCAUAUGCAGAAGCUUGCUAAGUUUUUUCUCUUGGGGGUUGCAUACUAUAUCGGAUUUUGGUUCAAGCAUUAUAAAGAGUAGUUUGUUUGAAGAUGAUAAAUCUCCUAUCCGAUCUGGGCAUCCUGCAGUGGAGUGUCUGCCUGUUUCUGUUGUAACAUUGUCUUUCUCUCUUCAUCAUAUCAAACAAAUCAGGACCAAGCUUGGAGUGACGAUAAAUGAUGUAAUUACGGGGACAAUUUUUCUGGCAACUCGAUUGUACAUGGAAACAGUGAAGCAAGGUUCAGGGAAGGCACGAACAACAUCAUUGGUGCUGCUAAAUACAAGGAUGUUUGGAGGCUACAAGUCUGUCCAAGAAAUGGUUAAACCUGAUGCUGAGGUGCCAUGGGGCAACCAUUUCGCAUUCAUGUCUGUGUCCAUUCCAAAAUUGAGUGCCUCAGAUGUUAAAGAUCCUCUCCAAUUUGUUUGGAAAGCUAGGAAAGUCAUCCAAAGAAAGAGAAGUUCUUUUGCCGUUUUCCUCACUGCUAAAUACCUUCAGCUUGUCAGGAAAUUUAGAGGCCCUGAGGUAUGACAUAUGUACAUACAUAGAAACUUUUGAACUUUUGUUCACUGAUUCUGAGUGUUUGAUAAGGAAAUGAUUUUGCAGGCAGUAUCUAAACAUCUCCAUGGCACAUUGAAGAAUACAAGCUUGGGAAUCACAAAUGUGAUAGGACCAAUGGAACAGAUGGCUUUAGCUAAUCAUCCUGUCAAAGGCUUAUACUUUGUGGUCACUGGUGCACCUCAGGUAAACAACUCUGCUCCCUACAAGCAUACAGAUUUUACUAGGAUUUAUAAACGACACACAUGUUUUUUUAUGGAAUUGCAGAGUCUGAUGACAGGGGUGUUAAGUUACAUGGGAAAGCUUAGGGUUGCUGCUCUAGUAGAAAAGGACUUCAUAGAUCCACAGAACUUCAAAUUUCAUAUGCAGAAUGCUUUUGACAUGAUAUUCAAGGCUGCAUUUGGCGCUUCUCCUUCACCAGCCAAUUAAAACAAGACGCAUAGUUUCUGUACCAAACUUUCCUUUCCUGUUCUUAAUUCCCUCCCAAUCACAGAUAAAUAUCGGGUAUAUCAUGUAUUCAUAUUCAAAAUACAUAUGUAAGACCUAUAUAUUUAAUGAGUGAAUCCCAUUACUUGAAU
rnacentral:misc_RNA from 1 species